rnacentral:rRNA from 1 species
AACGAACGCUGGCGGCAUGCCUAACACAUGCAAGUCGAACGAGACCUUCGGGUCUAGUGGCGCACGGGUGCGUAACGCGUGGGAACCUGCCCUUAGGUUCGGAAUAACUCCCCGAAAGGGGUGCUAAUACGGGAUAAUGUCUUCGGACCAAAGAUUUAUCGCCUUUGGAUGGGCCCGCGUUGGAUUAGCUAGUUGGUAGGGUAAAAGCCUACCAAGGCGACGAUCCAUAGCUGGUCUGAGAGGAUGAUCAGCCACACUGGGACUGAGACACGGCCCAGACUCCUACGGGAGGCAGCAGUAGAGAAUAUUGGACAAUGGGCGAAAGCCUGAUCCAGCAAUGCCGCGUGAGUGAUGAAGGCCUUAGGGUUGUAAAGCUCUUUUACCCGGGAUGAUAAUGACAGUACCGGGAGAAUAAGCUCCGGCUAACUCCGUG